rnacentral:rRNA from 1 species
AGCGAACGCUGGCGGCAGGCCUAACACAUGCAAGUCGAACGAACCUUUCGGGGUUAGUGGCGGACGGGUGAGUAACACGUGGGAACGUGCCUUUAGGUUCGGAAUAACUCAGGGAAACUUGUGCUAAUACCGAAUGUGCCCUUCGGGGGAAAGAUUAAUCGCCUUUAGAGCGGCCCGCGUCUGAUUAGCUAGUUGGUUGAGGUAAUGGCUCACCAAGGCGACGAUCAGUAGCUGGUCUGAGAGGAUGAUCAGCCACAUUGGGACUGAGACACGGCCCAAACUCCUACGGGUGGCAGCAGUGGGGAAUCUUGCGCAAUGGGCGAAAGCCUGACGCAGCCAUGCCGCGUGAAUGAUGAAGGUCUUAGGAUUGUAAAAUUCUUUCACCGGGGACGAUAAUGACGGUACCCGGAGAAGAAGCCCCGGCUAACUUCGUG